GCUUCCUCUGCAGCAAGUUCUCCAUCUCCUUCUGACGAGCUUGCAAAGCAUCUUCCAGGUGAUUCUGCAGGAGCAAGGAAAAGAAGGUUUGAGCUGCAAAUGCAGAUUUUGGAGCCAAAGGAGGAGUGGCACCAUUUUACCAUGCACUGCACUAAUCCAUCAAUCCAAGAAGAAAGUUCUAACACAGAUGGGGAUGUCCUUGUCAUGGCCAUUUCACUUUCUGGGACAUCAGCUACAAAGUCUAAAACUAGCACAUAUUCCUCUUGGGAGGCUCCAAGCUCUGGGCUGGGACCUGAGAAUGCUGUGUUUGGAUAGUUUGAUUAUGCACUGGGGAGGUGAAGGAUAACAUGGAUUGAGAAGGGUUUGGCUCAAAGCACAUGGAUUGGGUCCAAAACUCUUCACUCUUCUCUGUUCCAUGCAAUAAAUAUGUAUUCUUGGA